GAUGAAGAACGUAGCGAAAUGCGAUACUUGGUGUGAAUUGCAGAAUCCCGUGAACCAUCGAGUCUUUGAACGCAAGUUGCGCCCGAAGCCAUUAGGCCGAGGGCACGCCUGCCUGGGUGUCACACGUCGUUGCCCCCCCAUCUACUCCUUCGGGAUUGCGGGGGGCGGAUGAUGGCCUCCCGUGCGCCUCGUCGCGCGGUUGGCAUAAAUGCCAAGUCCUCGGCGACGCACGCCACGACAAUCGGUGGUUGCGAAACCUCGGUUGCCCGUCGUGUGCGGUCGUCGCGCAUCGAGGGCUCGAAAAAAUUGCCGGGCUCCGGCUCGGCUUUCAACGCGACCCCAUGUCAGGCGGGGUUACCCGCUGAAUUUAAGCAUAUCAAUAAGCGGAGGA
rnacentral:misc_RNA from 1 species